rnacentral:misc_RNA from 1 species
CAAAUGGAGUUUGCCAAGCGCAUUAGUGAGCUUGCUCACCUCGUACGUCGCUUGAGUCGCGUGCAGGCUGACGAAGCACGUUCACGGCGCCUCCUCGCGUCUGCACGCAGCGCGCCAAACUUGGUGGAAGAUGAAGUAGGGCUCCGAAUCUCUGCCGGCCAGCAACGAGUGCGCUCGCCCGCUUCAGUGCAUCACCACGCCUUGUCGGGAUGCGCGGCUGCUCAAAACCAGCUGUUGCUUCGACGCAUUCCACUUUCUGUCUCACUGGUGGAACGCAGCUGGUGGAAACUGGAAUGCCGCCAGCGUCAACGGGAAGUACAGCGAAUCGCCGCGCAGGCGUCUGCCGGCGCAGCGGCUGGCACCACUGCCGGCUCGGCCUCAUCACCGCCGGCUAGCAGCGCCACUGGCUCUGCCCCUUCUGUAGCACCUGUAAUGCAGCCCGAGAAGAGCAAAACUCUAUCGAUAGUGCAGCCCUCACCUGCAGCGUCGCGCCAGCACAUCGACGCUGUUGUUCUCCUUCUGAAGCUUCUCCACUCGGUCGAAGAGGCGCGUCGGCAACUGCUGUGGAGGAAAGAGGGGGCAGCGCGACGCAGGUGUACCGCGGCGGACGAUAAGUGGCAGCAGUUUCAGGAGGAGUUCGCACCGCAGCUGCGCCGCCGCAAUCGGAAGAGUGGAAAGCAGGACGACGUGCACAGGGAAGACAGUGUCGCGCUCCUUCGGGAAACAGCGAACAUGUUGCAGGAACGCUGCCGCGCCGCUAAGGCGGAUGCGUCCCUUCUGCGCGCCUCGCUGCUCGCCCGCUCGUUCGUCUCGGCACGUCUCUGGGAACUGCUGUUGAGGAAAUCUGUGUGGACGGCGGCUGUCGUAGAGCACAAGCACGCGGCCGCGGUGGAUGAGUCGUCCCUGGCGGCGCCUCAUGCCACACGACUGCUUCUCAUGUGCCUCGCGUUCACGCGCCUCUCGAUGGGGGUGUUGCGCGACUACGUGGAGGGGAGGUGCUUCAGCCGGCACGCGCCACGCUUCGUCGUGUCGAUGCCGUCGCGGUCGUGGCAGUCCCGCAAACGGAACGUAGACGCCCGAAGCCUCGACGGAGAUGCCGCGCGGAGCGCGGCGGCGGCGGACACGUCAGUCGAAGCCGGCGACGGUGCGCGCGAUUCCAAGGACCGCUCUACCGCCGAUGCAACUCCGGGCAGCAACCAAGAAGACGCACUUUUUUCCAUCCUGCAGGGGGCCCUGCAAGUCCCUAGCUCUGCUGCCGCUGACAUCGCACUCGCGGCAAGCGCACCACUUGCCCGUGACUCCGCCUCGAAGAGCACCAGGCGCAAGCGGCGGCCGGGCAGAGUGGCGUCCAUGCGAUGGAUUCCCCCUCACACGGCGCACGUGAUUCCGCUCGCCUCGGAGACGCUCGCCCUCCAUACUUUCGUUUUGCCAGAGAUGGACGUGCCCACGCUGCUGCGUCUCGGCUGCGCAGCGGAGCUAGUCGAUCUCUGUGUGACGCUGCAGCGACUGGCCUCUUGUGUGCUGGUUUUGUCGCCGCAGCAGACGCCGUCGCUGGCAGACAGCAAGGAAGCCGCCAAGUCGCUGCAGCGCACUCUCCACUGCCUCGAGGACGCCAUAGCAACGGUGGGGCGUCAGGUGAAGACACACCUCGUCGCUGAGCAAAACGUGCGUCUCUCUAGCCAGCCGAUAGCGGCGGCGACGACGCUGGGGCGCCUUAAACCUGCGGACGCCGCACGGCUUGCGGUUCAGCUGCACACGCUCCGCCUGCUUCCCGUCGGCGACGCAGAUGCCGCGUUUUUGCUGUCGCAGCUGCUGCGCGACAUGUUCCCUGAACUGCGAACCAAGACGAGUCGCGUAUUGAGGGAGAAGGCACGACAGUCUUCCCUUUUGGCAUUUGCCACGCGUCCGCACCGCAUGAAGCUGUACGUGCAGCACGGCCGCCAAGGCGCAGAGGGCUACGUGCUGGGCACCAUUGUGCAGCAGGCGCGACUGCAGCAGCGGCAGCUUGCAGCGGCACUCCGUGCGCAGCACAUCUCCGAGGUUCAUGUGCAGCAACUGGGUGUAUUCGCUGAAUCUCUGCCACCGAGUGAGCUUGUGCGACUGAUUCAACUGUGCGCGAGCCACGCGAACAGAAGCCACGCAACGCAGCAGCGAGCGUUGUCCGCUGAGGCUUUCGAUACUCCGGUGACAGGAUGCCUCUUCCUUGCCGAGGCUCUGCUCAUCUCGGGCGCGCUUCAAACAACUCCUGACCAACCAAGUACGCUCUCUUUGCAGGAGCUAGCCAUCUUGUGGGAUGCCGCGACGCUGUUGUACCCGCUCAUUUGUGCUCGGAGGGCGCAGCAGCUCGUGGGUGGCGCUGGUCGUUUGCGCCUUUCACAUGCGGUGAAGUCUGAGUUCGUCAUCUGGGCAACCUUCGCCGAGCAUGUGUUGGUGAUGGCGAACGGGGCUUUGGCACAGCGCCUCCAGAAUCUGGAGAAGCUGCGGCAGCAUGAGUCUACAGCGAUGCGGCGCGCUCGCAUCACGAGCGAAAGGAAGGCAGCGUCAGAUGUCGCCGCCGUGGAGCGUGAGACUGCCUUGAUAGACAGCCGAAUCACGGCAGACGCUUUAGUCAGCCUCGCAGCAGGCGUGCUAGAAUACGCGGAGCACGACGACAGUGUCUCCGCUCGCAGCGUCACCGCUAGCACGCACUCUUCCUCACUGCCAGUGCAGAAUUCGGUGCGAGUACUCGCUCGUCUGCUGCAAGAGCUGGUCUUUCAUGAUCGGCAACUCUGGCACUCGCUUCGCAUUCUCCCCGCCACCCAGCGCAGCGCCGUGGAGCGUCAACUUGCAAUGUGCUUCCAGACUAUGGGUAUGCUGGACGAAACAACGACUCGCGCGCUUGACGCGCUCAGCCGGCGCAGCCACGUCGAGUUGUAGAGGAAAAGCGAAAUGUCGGUGGAGGGCUGCAGCUGCGUUUCUGUGAGCCGCGGCGCUUCCGUCGUGCCUCACACAGCGGAAGAUGACGCAGUCUGGUGUAUGGCUUCCCUCUCUGUGUGUCGCAUUCUCCUCGUUCUUUCUGCCCUCCUCACAUCCCGCCGUUUUCUUCUGCUUGCCAAACAGUAUGGGGGGGGAGGGCGGCGGCCGCAUCGAUCUGGUUGCCAGCGGCGAGCUCGUACAAGUUCGGUAAACGGGAGAAGUACGUUAAGACAGACCGCUAAGGAGCAUCAACAUGAACACGGUGAAAUCCUGCCCACGCACGCGGGACUGAGUUGCGGAAAGAAGAGGAAGGUGAAAUAUUGGAAGAGGCCAAAAUAAAAAAGAAAACAAGAAGCGAAGAGGACGGAAGCGUCUUUCGUUCUGUAAGCGUUGGCGACACGCUUAUGCACGCACACAACUCUCCAGCCACCACCACCGCCACCACCUCGACUCCUCACCGCUCUUUGGAUGUCCUUUACCCUCUCGCUCGCCGCGUUCCCCUCUCCCUACUAAACAUACACACGCACGCACACCAUCACUCAAACUCUCCACACUCGGGUGGCUGUGCGCUACCCCUGUCCUUUCAUCCUUAAACGAAUACGCGUACACACACUCAACACUUCACAG